rnacentral:rRNA from 2 species
CCUACGGGAGGCAGCAGUGAGGAAUAUUGGUCAAUGGAGGCAACUCUGAACCAGCCAUGCCGCGUGAAGGAUGACGGCCCUAUGGGUUGUAAACUUCUUUUAUAUGGGAAGAAACUUAUCUACGUGUAGAUAACUGACGGUACCAUACGAAUAAGGAUCGGCUAACUCCGUGCCAGCAGCCGCGGUAAUACGGAGGAUCCAAGCGUUAUCCGGAUUCAUUGGGUUUAAAGGGUCCGUAGGCGGAUUUUUAAGUCAGUGGUGAAAGCCGACAGCUCAACUGUCGAACUGCCAUUGAUACUGGAGAUCUUGAGUACAAAUGAAGUAGGCGGAAUGAGUCAUGUAGCGGUGAAAUGCAUAGAUAUGACUCAGAACACCAAUUGCGAAGGCAGCUUACUAACAUGUAACUGACGCUGAGGGACGAAAGCGUGGGGAGCGAACAGGAUUAGAUACCCUGGUAGUCCACGCCGUAAACGAUCAUCACUCGCUGUUGGCGAUAUACAGUCAGCGGCCAAGCGAAAGUAUUAAGUGAUGCACCUGGGGAGUACGCCGGCAACGGUGAAACUCAAAGGAAUUGACGG